UUGAGACUUAGGUGAAUUACCAAGUAAACCAACUUUGUAGGUGCAGUUCAGAGUCGUGGGAAGACGAAGUUUAAAAGGUGUCACGAGAUCAGCCAGUGACAGAUCUCGUGGUGCUCCCCCUUGGAUGUUUCUGGCGGGAGUCUGUAAAGUAUCGGAGCAGGGCCGUAGGAUGAUUUGAGAAGUGGUCGUUGCCCUGGCGUGUCUUGCGUCGUCUCUCCUGUGUAUUACCCGAAAGGCACACAUCCAAGCCUUAGCUUUCCACUCAACUCACAGAUCCUGCACCAGAGCCAAGCGCAGUAGGCUAGUCAAGACUAAGUUGCUAGACUGACCCCCAAAGUCAGGCCGUCCAAAAAAAAAAGGUGCUGGGAUUCAUUGUUUCGAGAAGGAAUACGGCGUCCUGUUCACUAACACUGGAGGAACAAAAGGCAUGUUUUGAAUCUGUGGUGAGACACUAAAUUAGAUCAUUUCUAUAUUUAGGUUAAUGAGAAUUCUCAUUAUACUGUCGUGUCGAAAGGUAAUGGCCCCCUUGCCCUU
rnacentral:lncRNA from 1 species